rnacentral:rRNA from 1 species
AUUGAACGCUGGCGGCAGGCCUAACACAUGCAAGUCGGACGGUAGCACAGAGGAGCUUGCUCCUCGGGUGACGAGUGGCGGACGGGUGAGUAAUGUCUGGGGAUCUGCCCGAUAGAGGGGGAUAACCACUGGAAACGGUGGCUAAUACCGCAUAACGUCGCAAGACCAAAGAGGGGGACCUUCGGGCCUCUCACUAUCGGAUGAACCCAGAUGGGGUUAGCUAGUAGGCGGGGUAAUGGCCCACCUAGGCGACGAUCCCUAGAUGGUCUGAGAGAAUGACAGGCAACACUGGAACUGAGGCACGGUCCAGACUCCUACGGGAGGCAGCAGUGGGAAAUAUUGCACAAUGGGCGCAAGCCUGAUGCAGCCAUGCCGCGUGUAUGAAGAAGGCCUUCGGGUUGUAAAGUACUUUCAGCGGGGAGGAAGGCGAUGUGGUUAAUAACCGCGUCGAUUGACGUUACCCGCAGAAGAAGCACCGGCUAACUCCGUGCCAGCCGCCGCCGUAA